rnacentral:lncRNA from 1 species
AAAAAAGUAAAAAAUUAAAAAAAAAAAAACAGAAGAAAGCAGGCUGAACAAGCAAUUGAAAGGAAGCCAGGAAGCAGGCUUCCUCCGUGGCCUCUGCUUCAGUUCCUGCCUCCAUGUUCCUGCCUUGACUUCGCUUCCUGAUGGGCUGUGACCUAUAAGAUAAAACAAACCCUUUCCUCCCCAAGUCACUUUCUGUCACAGAAUAGAAAUCUAGCAUGGCUACUGGUAUGAUGUUACGGUGAUGUGGUCCCGGAGCUGUCGUGCAGGGCAGGCGACCCUGCUGUCACUGAAGCUCAGCUUUGGGCUGUGCAGCCCUGUCCUGGUUAGGGCUUCUAUUGCUGCAGUCAAUCACCAUGACCAGAAAGCAAGUUGGGGACAAAAGAGCUUAUUUGACUUUACCCUUCGGCACCACUGCUCAUCAUGGAAGGAAGUCAGGACAGCUGCCAUAUGACCAGCUGCUUCCUGAUCCCACCACCAAGCCCUCUCAGCCAGGAUAGACUGUACCUUCAAAUCUUGAUCCACCAAACUGUGACCCUCUAAACCAUGAUCCUUCAAACUGUGAUCCUCCAAACCGUGAUCCUCCAAACUGUGACCCUCCAAACCUGAGGAGACACUGUCAACAUCCCACCCUGACCCACCGUGGCAGUCCUCUUGGCCCUGGAUGGUACUCCCACCCCGGGGAACCAUAAAUCCUGCCUGCUAAUGUCCCACAAUCGCACCGUCCUCUGGAGACUUGCUCUUGGUCAGUGGGAGCCACGUCUUUACUUCUGUGAGAUAGCAGGCUCAGGCACAGUAGGUUUAUGGGAUUGUGUGGUAACCUCUAUAACCAAGCCAUUAAUCCUAGCACUUGAGAGGCAGAGGCAAGGAGACCUCUGUGCAUUUGAGUUCAGCCUGGUCACCAUAGUAAGCUCCAGGACAGCCAGGGCUACAUAGUGAGA